UGCAGUCGACGGAAGGCCCUUCGGGGUGCUCGAGUAGUGACGAACGGGUGAGUAACACGUGGGUGAUCUGCCCUGCACUUUGGGAUAAGCCUGGGAAACUGGGUCUAAUACCGAAUAGGAUCACUGGCUUCAUGGUCGGUGGUGGAAAGCUUUUGCGGUGUGGGAUGGGCCCGCGGCCUAUCAGCUUGUUGGUGGGGUAAUGGCCUACCAAGGCGACGACGGGUAGCCGGCCUGAGAGGGUGACCGGCCACACUGGGACUGAGAUACGGCCCAGACUCCUACGGGAGGCAGCAGUGGGGAAUAUUGCACAAUGGGCGCAAGCCUGAUGCAGCGACGCCGCGUGAGGGAUGACGGCCUUCGGGUUGUAAACCUCUUUCAGCACAGACGAAGCGCAAGUGACGGUAUGUGCAGAAGAAGGACCGGCCAACUACGUGCCAGCAGCCGCGGUAAUACGUAGGGUCCGAGCGUUGUCCGGAAUUACUGGGCGUAAAGAGCUCGUAGGUGGUUUGUCGCGUUGUUCGUGAAAACUCACAGCUUAACUGUGGGCGUGCGGGCGAUACGGGCAGACUGGAGUACUGCAGGGGAGACUGGAAUUCCUGGUGUAGCGGUGGAAUGCGCAGAUAUCAGGAGGAACACCGGUGGCGAAGGCGGGUCUCUGGGCAGUAACUGACGCUGAGGAGCGAAAGCGUGGGGAGCGAACAGGAUUAGAUACCCUGGUAGUCCACGCCGUAAACGGUGGGUACUAGGUGUGGGUUUCCUUCCUUGGGAUCCGUGCCGUAGCUAACGCAUUAAGUACCCCGCCUGGGGAGUACGGCCGCAAGGCUAAAACUCAAAGGAAUUGACGGGGGCCCGCACAAGCGGCGGAGCAUGUGGAUUAAUUCGAUGCAACGCGAAGAACCUUACCUGGGUUUGACAUGCACAGGACGCUGGUAGAGAUAUCAGUUCCCUUGUGGCCUGUGUGCAGGUGGUGCAUGGCUGUCGUCAGCUCGUGUCGUGAGAUGUUGGGUUAAGUCCCGCAACGAGCGCAACCCUUGUCCUAUGUUGCCAGCGGGUUAUGCCGGGGACUCGUAGGAGACUGCCGGGGUCAACUCGGAGGAAGGUGGGGAUGACGUCAAGUCAUCAUGCCCCUUAUGUCCAGGGCUUCACACAUGCUACAAUGGCCGGUACAAAGGGCUGCGAUGCCGUGAGGUGGAGCGAAUCCUUUCAAAGCCGGUCUCAGUUCGGAUCGGGGUCUGCAACUCGACCCCGUGAAGUCGGAGUCGCUAGUAAUCGCAGAUCAGCAACGCUGCGGUGAAUACGUUCCCGGGCCUUGUACACACCGCCCGUCACGUCAUGAAAGUCGGUAACUACUCCGAAGCCGGUGGCCUAACCUCCUUGUGGGAGGAGCCGUA
rnacentral:rRNA from 1 species